rnacentral:lncRNA from 1 species
AGGGAGCGGGAGGAAGGUUGGGUGGCUAGCUGCUCCAUCCGUGGAGUAAGCAGCCAAGGUUCGAAUCCUGUUAGGCGCAUCUUCGCUAGAGUGGAAAGUGGCAUUCUUAACGUAGGGGGCUAUUCUAUUCUUUAGCCCCUAUUAGAAAAGAAAAGUACUGAGUCCAUUAGCAAUGUUUACUGUGAUCCAGUUAAAACUGUAGGUUCUUGUGUAAACUACCCUCAGCUUUAUUUUAGAUUCGGUGGACAUCAGCAACCAGCUGGGGAGUGCUAAUAGCAACUAGAAACCGUAUCCUGAACAUAUUUUCUGCCAUAUAUACCGUGGCACAACCUGCAGU